UACGGGGGGGGGCAAGCGUUGUUCGGAAUUACUGGGCGUAAAGGGCGCGUAGGCGGCCUUCUAAGUCGAACGUGAAAUCCCCCGGGCUCAACCCGGGGAACUGCGUCCGAUACUGGAAGGCUUGAAUCCGGGAGAGGGAUGCGGAAUUCCAGGUGUAGCGGUGAAAUGCGUAGAUAUCUGGAGGAACACCGGUGGCGAAGGCGGCAUCCUGGACCGGCAUUGACGCUGAGGCGCGAAAGCCAGGGGAGCAAACGGG
rnacentral:rRNA from 1 species